GACGGGUGAGUAAUGUCUGGGGAUCUGCCCGAUAGAGGGGGAUAACCACUGGAAACGGUGGCUAAUACCGCAUAACGUCGCAAGACCAAAGAGGGGGACCUUCGGGCCUCUUGCCAUCAGAUGUGCCCAGAUGGGAUUAGCUAGUAGGUGGGGUAACGGCUCACCUAGGCGACGAUCCCUAGCUGGUCUGAGAGGAUGACCAGCCACACUGGAACUGAGACACGGUCCAGACUCCUACGGGAGGCAGCAGUGGGGAAUUUUCCG
rnacentral:rRNA from 13 species